UACGUAGGCAGCAAGCGUUGUUCGGAGUUACUGGGCGUAAAGGGUGCGUAGGCGGCUUUUUAAGUUUGGUGUGAAAUCUCCCGGCUCAACUGGGAGGGUGCGCCGAAUACUGAGAGGCUAGAGUGUGGGAGAGGAAAGUGGAAUUCCUGGUGUAGCGGUGAAAUGCGCAGAUAUCAGGAGGAACACCGGUGGCGAAGGCGGGUCUCUGGGCAAUAACUGACGCUGAGGAGCGAAAGCGUGGGGAGCGAACAGG
rnacentral:rRNA from 1 species